rnacentral:lncRNA from 1 species
UAAAAUGGAUAAGGAAAUGGAUAUGUACGUAGCAAUGACAUUCAGUUUGAUUUUUUUUCCUGUUUCCAAUCAAUUGUUUUCUUGAUCCCGUUUGGGGGUUUUCUCGGGUUUAUUGCAUUUCGUUGAUCUUUUCUUUAGUGUUUAGUAUAUGUCUUCUGUAGACUGCUUAAAGUUUUAGAUUGUAUUAUGUGAUUGCGAUUUUGAGAUUUUAAUCUUUGUAGGUGGGAUAUUGAAACCAAAUCUUGAGUAGCAACAGAAUUUCUUGUGGCUUUGGUGUGUUGAAAACAAUAUAAUGAGAGAU